CCUUGAUGGAUCUCUUUGAGUGAGGCAUGAUCAGAGGGAGAAAGAUGCAAAGCAAACUGAAUUAGUCUGCAUGAGAAAAGAAUGAAAGGGGAAAAAGUCAGCAAUGAUCCUGCCAUCUCUGACCAGAAGUCCGCCACAGAGUGCUCGAUGUUGCUGGCCUAGGGAACAAACAAGCCUGCCUACACUUACUGUGACAGCUGUCUGAUGGUUUAUUUGCUGUUCAUCAUCUCCCGCACUGGCUGUAAGCUCUUGGAGAGCAAGAAUCUUGCUGCUCCCUCUACCACUCUUUCUAGUGCCUAGAAGGUCAGUGGGAGUGCCAUACGCAUCUGUGAAUGAGUGAAUGGCUGACGGCCCCGCCUCCUCCCCUCUUUCCUUGUCCUGGGCAGGCUU
rnacentral:lncRNA from 1 species